AUUGAACGCUGGCGGCAGGCCUAAUACAUGCAAGUCGAGCGGAUGAAGGGAGCUUGCUCCUGGAUUCAGCGGCGGACGGGUGAGUAAUGCCUAGGAAUCUGCCUGGUAGUUGGGGAUAACGUCAGGAAACGGGCGCUAAUCCCGCAUCCGUCCUGAGGUAGAACGUGGGGGAUCUUCGGACCUCACGCUAUCUGCUGAGCCUAGGUCGGAUUAGCUAGUUGGUAGGGUAAAGGCGUACCAAGGCGACGAUCCGUAACUGCGCUGAGAGGAUGAUCGGUCACACUGGAACUGAGACACGGUCCAGACUCCUACGGGAGGCAGCAGUAGGGAAUAUUGGGCAAUGGGCGAAAGCCUGAUGCAGCCAUGCCGCGUGUGUGAAGAAGGUCUUCGGAUUGUAAAGCACUUUAAGUUGGGAGGAAGGGCAGUAAGUUAAUACCUGGCUGUUUUGACGUUACCAACAGAAUAAGCACCGGCUAACUUCGUG
rnacentral:rRNA from 1 species